rnacentral:rRNA from 1 species
CGCGCAGCGAGAGGUGCUUGCACCUUUCAAGCGAGUGGCGAACGGGUGAGUAACACGUGGAUAACCUGCCUCAAGGCUGGGGAUAACAUUUGGAAACAGAUGCUAAUACCGAAUAAAACUUAGUAUCGCAUGAUAUCAAGUUAAAAGGCGCUACGGCGUCACCUAGAGAUGGAUCCGCGGUGCAUUAGUUAGUUGGUGGGGUAAAGGCUUACCAAGACGAUGAUGCAUAGCCGAGUUGAGAGACUGAUCGGCCACAUUGGGACUGAGACACGGCCCAAACUCCUACGGGAGGCUGCAGUAGGGAAUCUUCCACAAUGGGCGCAAGCCUGAUGGAGCAACGCCGCGUGUGUGAUGAAGGCUUUCGGGUCGUAAAGCACUGUUGUAUGGGAAGAAAUGCUAAAAUAGGGAAUGAUUUUAGUUUGACGGUACCAUACCAGAAAGGGACGGCUAAAUACGUGCCAGCAGCCGCGGUAAUACGUAUGUCCCGAGCGUUAUCCGGAUUUAUUGGGCGUAAAGCGAGCGCAGACGGUUGAUUAAGUCUGAUGUGAAAGCCCGGAGCUCAACUCCGGAAUGGCAUUGGAAACUGGUUAACUUGAGUGUUGUAGAG